GGCGGCACGCAGGCGCUCUCUUCAGCUUCCCUUGAUCUUUGACCCGUCGGCCGCCCUUGAGCCGGGGCCCCGGGGCGGGGGGAGCCGGUUUGGGAUCUGGAGCCGGUUUGGGACCCGGUGCUGGAGCCGGUUACCCUGAGGUAGAGCAGCCGCCAUGGCCAAGUACCUGGCCCAGAUCAUUGUGAUGGGGGUACAGGUGGUGGGCAGGGCCUUUGCCCGGGCCCUCCGACAGGAGUUUGCAGCCAGCCGGGCCGCAGCUGAUGCCCGGGGACGUGCCGGACACCAGUCUGCAGCUGCCUCUAACCUCUCUGGCCUCAGCCUCCAGGAGGCACAGCAGAUCCUCAAUGUCUCCAAGCUGAACCCCAAGGAUAUCCAGAAGAAUUAUGAACACCUAUUCAAGGUGAACGAUAAAUCUGUGGGCGGCUCCUUCUACCUGCAGUCAAAGGUGGUCCGAGCAAAGGAGCGCCUUGAGGAGGAACUCCGAAUCCAGGCCCAGGAGGACAGAGAGAAAGAGCAGAGGCCCCAGACGUGACCACUUGGCUCCUCCUGCCCCACUCCGCCCACCACCUCUAAUUUAUAGUUUGAUGACAGCACCCACUUCAACAAGUGAACUGAUGAAUCUGAUUAUAGACUUCAUAAAGACCCUACUAGGAGCAAGCCCACAGUGAGCACUGCAUGAACGCCGCCUGCCCUUUGUGUAGCCCUUACUGGGCAAAACAGCUCCAGAUUCACUAAACGUCUCCUCCUGUGCUGACCAGAAUGGAACCAUGAGACUGUGGGCCUUCAAGCAUGGCCAGCCCAGACGGAAAUCUGGUGUAACAUGCACACCAGAUUCUGCAGACUUCAUAUGAAGUAAAGAAUUUCAGUGUCUCAGUGAUACCUUUUCAAUUUUGAAAAGACAACCCUUUGGACAUACUGGGUUCAAGAAAAUAUAUGAUUACACUUCAUUUCA